UCUCUCUCUCUUUCUCCGGGGUUUAAUAUGCUUUCUAUUUAUUUUCUGUGUAAUCUGUAGCAACUUCUAUGAUUUGCUGAUUAGUUAGAUCUGUAAUGUGUUGUAGUGAAAUCUGUUAUAAGCUGCUGGCAGAACAGGAGCUUAUAAUUAAUGAAUUUGUUUUAGUAUGAAUAGUAUACUAAAUAAUGCAAGACAUUCUGGAUGACACAUUUAUGAUUCGUUACGCUGUUUAUGGAAGUAAAAUUAGGCCAAUUUAAUUUUUCUUACCCGUUAGUUUCAAUGUCUCCGGUUGCACAUUGCGACACUCAUUUCAGAUCCCAAAGCAUGGAAUCAGUUCAAUCACUAGCUACUUCACAAAGUGUAGCACAACCGACGCUGCCAGUUCAGGCCAAUACACAACCAACCCUGUCAAUUCAGGCAGUAAGAUAGAUGUCUUCCUCAGUUCAGGAGCCGGUUCCGUCAAUUCAGGCAACAAGACGAUCAUUUCAGGCUACAUCAAAGCUGGUUCCGUCAAUUCAGGCAACAGGACGAUCAGUUCAGGCCGCAUCACAGUCGGCUUCAUCAAAUCAAGCCGCAUCACAGUCGACUUCAUCAAAUCAAGCUGCAUCACAGCCAGCACCAUUCAGGAAACGUGUUGGACGUGUGUCUAAUACACAUUGGACCGUAGAUGUGAUAGAUUCAGACGAAAAUAGAAAGACACUCAGACUGAAAAUCAAGGAAGUGCUGAAUUUAUCUAGUGAAGACUAUAUUGUGCUCGAUUUUGAUUACCUGGAUGCUCCAUUUGGAGAAGCACAAGCUCUUCUUGCUGGAUUUUGUGGAAUUUUAGCAGCUGAUUCUUCUUUAUUUCCGAUGCACUUUGAGAAAUGGCCGGAUUUACCUAUAUCAUACUUCGAUCGCGUCUUUGAUCAAAUUAUGAAGCCCCGAUUUUGUUUUCAGACAACCGAGUCAGGUGCACGAAAAUAUGUUUAUGAUUCUAUUUUGAAGAAGUGGAGUGCGAACAGGCUAGACAUAUGGGAAGCGUUCCGUGACCCACUUAAGAGCAAAGCUCAGAUUAUGGAUAAUGUUCCACCUGGAAUUCCACGGGAUCAGUGGACUUCUUAUUGUUAUUAUUGUUUUAAAGAAGAAAAACAGGAAAUGUGCAAAAAGAAUGCUGAAAAUCGAAAGAAACAAACCAUUCCACUUGUUAUGUAUCCAAAGCUAACUCUAGAAGAAGGGCUGAAAUGCUGGCUGAGACCGGACAAAUGCCUGGACGAGCACAAAUUUAUCUUGCUACUCAUAAGAAUGAAAAUGGAGCAUAUGUUAAUGAGGCCGCAAAAGAUAUAUGUGAAAAAAUUCAGAUAACUUUGAGUCAUAGCACAGUGGAUGAGUCUGUAGUAUCGCCAGAUGAUGCAGUUGGCAAGGUUCUAGGAAAAGUUCACUCUGGAAGGGUAAGGUGUUUGGGGUUAGGAGCUGUCCCCAGCAGAGUUUUUAAACAAACAAGACCUCGAUUUGGUGGUAUGAGUUCUUCAAGGAGUGAAGGUUUAUGUUCGUCCUAUUGUCAAGAAAACUAAAAUAUUUUGUUGAAUGCUCACAAAGAAAUGGUGAAUAAUCACAAUCAAGUAAUGAAUGCUUUGAAAACAUAUAUGAUAAUGAAAGAAGGGAUGUUACCAGAACAAUUUGCGGGGUUAUUUCCUUCUUCUCCUACAACGCCAAGUGAUGCGGCAAGUGCAUCUCUUUCACCCAUGGAUGCAAGAAGAUCUUAUGGUGGUAGUAAUCAUAGUGACAACCCUUGAAGUUCCUUGUAAUCGUAUUAGAUGAUUAAUUACGACAAUGUAAUUGGUGGAUCGGAUGUUAGAAUGGUUGGAGUGAAUGAUGUGCUAAAUUUUGUUUGUAAAACUAACGAUACUACUUUAUGAUAAUAAUUUUGUGUUUUAAAAAAAUGUUAUUUCUUAUUAAUA